rnacentral:tRNA from 2 species
GCAUUGGUGGUUCAGUGGUAGAAUUCUCAUCUUCUAUGUUGGGGACCUGGGUUCAAUUCCCAGCCAAUGUA